ensembl:lncRNA
AUGUAUUUGCUUGAAAGGGAGAGAGAGAGAGAGAGAGGUCUUCCAUCCGCUGGUUCACUCCCUAAAUGUCUGCAACGGCCAGGGCCGGGCCAGGCUGCAGCCAGGAGCCCAGACACUGAGCCGUCACCGCUUCCCAGGACGCACAUUCCAGGCAUCUGGACUCAGAGGUGGAGCUGGAACUUGAACUUGAACCUGUGGCACAGACAGGUGCUGAGCCGAGACACCAGGAAGUCUUUCUUUUUUUUUUUUUUUUUGUAUUUGAUAGGCAGAGUGGACAGUGAGAGAGAGAGACAGAGAGAGAAAGGUCUUCCCUUGCCGUUGGUUCACCCCAGGAAGUCUUUUCUUACGCCUGCAGAAUGCCAGGGAGAGGGCUCUCUGCAGUUCUGGCUUUCGCUAUUUGUUACAUGGCGGCCCAGGAAUGAUACAGUAGCACCUGCUGACGAUGUACCCCACGCCGUCUGGCAGGUUGGGUGUGGUGUUUGGCCAACAGUCCCAUUGGCUGUAAUCUCCAGGACAGCCUGUAACCCAGCAGUGCGGUUGUACACGGACAUGGGCCGUGAGCCCCAUUGCUGUCUUUCUCUGGGACUCUGGGUGCUCUCCCCAGUGGGCGGAGUGGGGAGAAGGAGGCACGCGGGUUUCCGGUGCGCUAGACCCAGCCGCCAGCCGCAGCGGGGCAGUUCUGACGCACACGCAGUGGCAGUGCAGUCCUGUGGGCGGCGCUGGCGCUUCUGCGGCCGGGGCACCUGCCGUAGAGGAAGGCCUGCAGGUUUUAUCGCCCAGGGUUAUCAUGCCGGACCCUGUGGUGCUGAGCAGGGUUCUCCUGGGGAACACUCCUUGGGGGGAGCGCUGGGACCAUGGUCAAGGGCAGGGGGGAAUCCCAGCCCCAGGACUGGGGAGGAGGCUGUGGCCCUCAUCCCACUCGCAGCUGUCCUCAGGCCCUGGCCAGAGAGGGGCCUGGGUGAAGUAACUCCUUGACAGUAGGGGCUCCAUUUUGCAGCACCUGAGGCUCCACUCUGGGGCGCACGCCCUCCCCCACCGCGUGAGACGCCGGCUGGAGCCAUGCUCUAAGACACUGGGACACUAGCAGUCUGCUACGCCACACCUGGCAAAGCACAGAACCCCCGGCACGAGCGCUCAAGCUUGGGAGCCGAUAGGCUGCACCGGGGUGAUGAUGAGAGGAGCUUUGUCUGUGUCCUACAUGUGAGUCAAGCAAGACCUGCAGCAAUGUCAAGACCACAAUUGAUCUGAAUUUCGAAUAGGUUUUAGGUCAGCUUGACCCCGGUAACUGUAGCCCCCCUUAGCAAUCAUGUAUUUUCCUCCCGGUUUUUCGGCUUUUGCCUUUUUUUUUUUUAAUGAUUUAUUUGAAAGUCAGAGUUACACAGAGAGAGAAGGAGAGGCACAGAGAGAGAGAGCGAGAGCAAGAGCGAGCGAGAGAGAGAGGUCUUCCAACCUCUGGUCCAUUCCCCAAUUGGCUGCAACGGCGGAGCUGCACUGAUCCGAAGCCAGGAGCCAGGAGCUUCUUCCGGGUCUCCCACGUGGGUGCAGGGGCCCGUGGGUGCAGGGGCCCAAGCACCUGGGCCAUCUUCUACUGCUUUCCCAGGCCACAGCAGAGAGCUGUAUCGGAAGUGGAGCAGCUGGGACUUGAACUGGCGCCGCAUAUGGGAGG